CAUAGCCUUGGCCGCAAAGCGUCUCCAGGGACCCGCUUAACCCAGUCUGCAUGGGAACAAGGUAACGUUAGUCAGUUCAUCAGUAUGCGCUGUUCCUCUUGGUUUCUCUACUAAAAUCUGCAUUGCCGUAAGGUUUUGUGGUAAACUGAAGGGAUAGAAACAUCAAACUGUUGCAAAGUUGAAAAUUCUCAAUAGGAACAACCAGUCUAACCAGGGCUGAAGAAAUUACAGCAACAUACUGCACUGCUACCAUAGUAGUACUAGCACAGUUCAGGAUUUGACUUCCUCAGUUGUCUCAACCUGUGACCAUGUGCUGUGUUUAUUCUGAAGCCUGACAUAUGCUUAAUUCCUGGGAUCCGGAUAAAGGGCAUGUGCAAAUCUGUCUACAUUGGCGAUGAAAGAUCCAUGAUAAUCUUACAACAAUGGUCCUAUCCUGACAAACUUUUGCAUAUUAUAACGAAGUAUACUUGAGAGUUGACUCUAUGCUUCACAGCCAACACUAUCUUUGCAACCACUACACACUAGUACUGACAUAUAUAUAGCCAUGAAUAUAGGAGUUGACCAGUCUUAUACUACCUACCGGCUAGACAACUGAUCAUAGCUCAUGUACUGAAAUGACACAGCAUGGCAUUGCUUUCAUCUUAAGAGAAAAAAGAGAUCCUAUGCAUGAAUUUCUGCUGCACUUCCAUGUUUUCUAAUGUUGAAUUUGAAGCCAAAUGGCAUGUUGAAGUUUUGUCUGUGUAUUCCUUGCAUCCAUUUAAAAUUAGCAAGUAGGUUAGGCCAUAGUCAGGCGAAUGCGCAAGGACUUUUCUUUUUUCAGAAUAAAUGUGUAAGGACUAAAGCGGCAGCUUUUAGGUGCCAGCAUAAUAGGGGUUCUAGAAUUUGUCUGGUCCAAGUCCUCUGUAUCCUUGUCUAGACAAGUCCUCUCUUUGAGACAUUCUUCUCAAAAAGAAGUAUCAAUGCUGGAUGUUCAUAUUGCCCAGUGACUGCAACAUAACCCAACACUGAAAGAAUAUCAUAUCAGUUUAUUAAUGCAUUCAUUUAUUUAUCCUUUAAGAAAGCAUAUUCACAAGCUAAUCCUGUGCAAUGGCUAUGAUUCCGUAUACACCACAGCUCGUGAAAAAGCCUCAAGUAAACGUUCCAAUCCAAGAUUGAGAAGCCAUUUGCGUCAUUUACACCAUAAUUAAUAUAUUUAACAAAGCUUAGAUAACCACUACAGACCUAUAUAGUACAGUACAUGUCAAGGACCUAACCAAAUAUGCUUUAGGAUAUUAACUAAUUGUUCAUUUAUUUAUUUAUUUAUUUAUGGUAACUCUGGUCUGAGUAAUUAAUCUGCAGACAGAUCAAAGUGAGUAAUUGUUAUUCUAGUCUUGGAGACAGAUCUAAGUGAUAGAAUGAAUGAUGGAGCAUAUGUCUAUGACGGGCAACUUAGUUGAGCAAUGGAGACUAUGGAGUGGUGGCAGUAAAAAUUGAAGAUGAUGGCAAAGGAGACCAAAGAAAAGAUGGUAGGUAAAUACCAAGCUCAUAUGAGCUCGAGCUGAGAACAGCACAUUCGGUAGGUAAACAUUGUUUUCGAUGCAUACAGGGAGGGACGGCUAAAGAGACAGACGAAGACGUUUUUACAGAGCAUCUCCGGGCAGGUCGCCGGAGAUGAGGAGGAGGAGAAGCCUCCUUCCCCUAGAAUCAGAUCAAAUCAAUGGAGAAGAAGGAUGAGGCAAAAUAUAUGAUAGAC
rnacentral:lncRNA from 1 species